UACAGAGGUCUCAAGCGUUGUUCGGAUUCAUUGGGCGUAAAGGGUGCGUAGGCGGUGAGGUAAGUCAGGUGUGAAAUCUCGGGGCUCAACCCCGAAACUGCACUUGAUACUGCCUUGCUCGAGUACUGGAGAGGAGAUUGGAAUUUACGGUGUAGCAGUGAAAUGCGUAGAUAUCGUAAGGAAGACCAGUGGCGAAGGCGAAUCUCUGGACAGUUACUGACACUGAGGCACGAAAGCGUGGGGAGCGAACAGG
rnacentral:rRNA from 1 species